rnacentral:lncRNA from 1 species
UGACAGUUGACUUCAAACUCCCAGCCACCACAUCCUGAGCUGAUCCUUGGUCACUUCAAUCAGAGAAAUAACCAGAGAUGCAAGAAGGGCUAACAGGUUGCCCAGUUACCUAACUCAACUUUCAGAUGGACUUCAAGAUCCAGUUCAGAUGUCACUUACAUCCCUGAAACCACCUACUUC